GGAAUCCGGGAUCCUGAGGGCAGGGGACAACCUAAUAUUUGGCAUUUUGUGUUCUUUUGUGUAAAGUGACUGUUUCAAGAAUUUCUUUGCGCUAGUCAGCUCUAGCCUUUUACCAUUGCACUAAGCGAUAGCCCCUACAUCCAUGCAUCCACACAUAUAAGCAUUUUGAAGACUUUUAUUUUUUCCUUGUUUGCUUGGCAGUUUGCCGGAGGUCAGACGAUGUGUGCUUUUGGGGAGCUUAGAGAGCGGAUUCAAUCAAAAGGAAGAGGAUCAAAGGAUCUGCUUCCUAUUACCACAAUGUCUUGGCAUAGCAUCAUAGGUUCCCAGAAAUAAUUUAAGGUGGAAGGCAAGCUAGGGGUGACAUCGAAAGUGUUAGCUUGAAAUGUUGUAAGAUGAUAAUACGCGCAUGAUAGUUGGCCAAGUAACUGGUUUUUCUAAGAGUUUGGAUUCGGUUGUCAGAACUGGGAGCAUUAUCUGUAGUUCAUUGUGUGUUGGCUCAUGUGAGACCCAAUUAGACAAUUAUGUGGUAGGGGCUUGGAGCUUUGUUAGAGGAGUACAAUAAAUUGCAGCAUUGGACCUCCAAAUAAGUUGAAUGUUAUGAGCCUUAUAGCAUCUAUUUCGACAAAACUACCAUGCUAGCUUUUCCAUUCUUGUGAAAGUUUUUCCUUGGACUUGUUUCUAAGUAUGUGGCACAAGGGUAGCAACCCUUUAAUGAGGCUCUCAUGGGUUUUUUUUUUAUUGAAAGAUCUACAUCUCUCGUAUCCAAGAUUGGAUAAAGAUUUAAAUAUAAUGGCAGAAAUCAGAAUGCUAGAAAUUGGCAAAUUGUAGGAACAUAGUUAAAAAUUUUUUUUGACGCAAACAGGAAUGGGAGGUUGCUGAAACUUGGAUGAUGGCGGCUGAUUUCUCUUCUUUUUUUUCUUUUUUUUUGCCAAUGGCGGCUAGGGUUUCUUGUGGAUGGAGAAAGGAUGAAGAUGAUGAAUGGCUAGUGGGUUCAAUGGGGUUCAAUGGAUGGUGGCCGAAAUUGGGGAUUGUGUUUGAUUGGACUAAGGGCGGAUGGAGUUUGGUUGGGACCCAAAUCCGAUUGGAUCUGGGCAUGAGGUUUGGAGGCAUGAAAGGGGUUUUGGAGUUCUAAUGGGAGUAGGAUUAUAGAUGGCAUGAGCAAAGGAUGGCGUGGAAUAGGAGAGGAUAAGUAUGGAGUCGAAUGAGAGAGUCUCACCCUCGCUUAAUCCAAUAGUUGGCGUGAAGAGAAGGCGUCUUACCUAUUCCCUUCAACCCCUCUUGGCGUCGCACCAAGGAAGAGAAGAAUCCCUCUUCUCACGUAAAAGGCUCUCAAGGCUUUCAAAAAACUUAAUUAAUCAAUCUUUCUUCUCUAAAUUUUAUUCUUCAACCUCUCCUUUAUAUAGAGUAAGAGGAUGAAAAAUGCAGGACUCUUACAAUCUGAAAUUUAAGACUCCUUCUAAACAUUGACUCCUCCUAAACAUGAACUCCUUCUAAAUAUAGACUCUUUUAAUUGACUAAGUCAACUAAUUAGCUAGGACUCCCACUUGACUUUAGCUAAGAGUACAAGACAACUAGGAUUCUUCCCACACGCUACAAAAACAAAAUGAAUAGACUCAAAACUCAUAAGGACUCUUCAACACCUUGGACCCAAUGUGGUUUAGGUAUCGGACACUAACUCAAGAGGACUUGACAUGACCCAAAUCAAAGGACUCAAUCCAUACACACGCCCAAGAUGAUUUGGGCUCAAUGCUCCUACAUCAGUUCCCUCCUACUGCGAAAGAACUCGGCUCCGUCGAGUUACGCGACUGAUAGAGCUCAUACAGGUCUGGGUUUAGGUGUUGGACCUCUUUCGUCUUCAGUCACGAACAAUCUGAAAGAGGUCGGUUCUUUGGAUUGGGUUGGUUUAGUAAGGUCAUAUUGGGUAGUACUAUAUUAAUCAGGUUAGAUUAAGGUUGCAAAUGGGUCGGGUCGACUCGAGUCCCGACUCGGCCCGAUCCACGUAGACCCGACCUAAUCCGAAUUUUAGGACCCGCAGGUCCGGGUCGAGUUCUAAAAUUGGACCCGAAUCAU
rnacentral:lncRNA from 1 species